CACCGGCGGCUCGAGUGGUGGCCCCUUUUAUUGGGUCUAAAACGUCCGUAGCCGGCUUGGCAAGUCCCCUGGGAAAUCUGGCGGCUUAACCGUCAGGCGUCCAGAGGAUACUGCCAGGCUUGGGACCGGGAGAGGUGAGAGGUACCUCAGGGGUAGGGGUGAAAUCUUGUGAUCCCUGAGGGACCACCAGUGGCGAAGGCGUCUCACUAGAACGGGUCCGACGGUCAGGGACGAAAGCUGGGGGCACGAACCGG
rnacentral:rRNA from 1 species